CUAGGAGAAGAGGAUUCGAACCUCCAUUUAAGAGACCAAAACCCUUCGCAUGCCCAACUCACACUG
rnacentral:tRNA from 1 species